rnacentral:rRNA from 1 species
GAGAGGUGCUGCAUGGCCGUCGUCAGCUCGUGUUGUGAAGUGUUGGGUUAAGUCUCGCAACGAGCGCAACCCCUAUCGUCUGUUGCCAGCAUUUAGUUGGGCACUCUGACGAGACUGCCUGGGUUAACCAGGAGGAAGGUGGGGAUGACGUCAAGUCCUCAUGGCCCUUAUGUCUAGGGCUACACACGUAAUACAAUGGCGCGUACAAAGGGAAGCGAACUCGCAAGGGGGAGCAAAUCUCAAAAAGCGCGUCUCAGUCCGGAUUGGAGUCUGCAACUCGACUCCAUGAAGUUGGAAUCGCUAGUA